AACGCGAAGAACCUUACCUGGGCUAGAAGUGUAGAGGACGACAUCAGAGAUGAUGUUUCUCGAAAGGGUCUUUACAUAGGUGCUGCAUGGCUGUCGUCAGCUCGUGCCGUGAGGUGUUUGGUUAAGUCCAGCAACGAGCGCAACCCUUAUCGUUAGUUGCCAACGCGUAAUGGCGGGAACUCUAACGAGACUGCCUGGGUUAACCAGGAGGAAGGUGAGGAUGACGUCAAGUCCGCAUGGCCUUUAUGUCCAGGGCUACACACGUGCUACAAUGGUCGGUACAGAAGGCAGCGAAAUCGCAAGAUGAAGCAAAUCCCAAAAAACCGAUCUCAGUUCAGAUUGUAGUCUGCAACUCGGCUACAUGAAGUUGGAAUUGCUAGUAAUGGCGUGUCAGCAACAACGCCGUGAAUACGUUCCCGGGCCUUGUACACACCGAGACGAC
rnacentral:rRNA from 1 species